CCCCGAAGGCGGUGUAUGGAUUGGGGAGUCCCAGCGUUGGGGAUUCCCCAUCUCCGCAGUUUCUCUUCUUCUGACAACCUGCGUCGUGUCCUUCUUCCGGAAUACUCACGACGCGGACCCCGUUCUCACUCCCAUUGGGUGUCGGGUUUCUAGAGACGCCAAUCAGCGUCGCCGCGGUCCCGGUUCUAAAGUCCCCACUCACCACCAGGACUCAGAUUCUCCGCAGACGCCUAGAAUGGCGGUCAUGGCGCCCCGAACCCUCCUCCUGGUGCUCUCAGGGGUCCUGGCCCUGACCCAGACCCGGGCGGGCUCGCACUCCAUGAGGUAUUUCUACACCUCCAUGUCCCGGCCCGGCCGCGGGCAGCCCCGCUUCAUCGCCGUGGGCUACGUGGACGACACGCAGUUCGUGCGGUUCGACAGCGACGCCGAGAGUCCGAGGAUGGAGCCGCGGGCGCCGUGGGUGGAGCAGGAGGGGCCGGAGUAUUGGGACCGGGAGACACAGAACAUGAAGACCGCGACACAGACCUACCGAGGGAACCUGCGGACCCUGCUCCGCUACUACAACCAGAGCGAGGCCGGGUCUCACACCUCCAGAAGAUGUACGGCUGCGACCUGGGGCCCGACGGGCGCCUCCUCCGCGGGUAUGAACAGUUCGCCUACGACGGCAGGGAUUACAUCGCCCUGAACGAGGACCUGCGCUCCUGGACGCGCGGACAUGGCGGCUCAGAACACCCAGCGGAAGUGGGAGGCGGCGG